UCGAACGGCAGCACGGGAGCUUGCUCCUGGUGGCGAGUGGCGAACGGGUGAGUAAUAUAUCGGAACGUGCCCUAGAGUGGGGGAUAACUAGUCGAAAGAUUAGCUAAUACCGCAUACGAUCUACGGAUGAAAGUGGGGGAUCGCAAGACCUCAUGCUCGUGGAGCGGCCGAUAUCUGAUUAGCUAGUUGGUGAGGUAAAGGCUCACCAAGGCAUCGAUCAGUAGCUGGUCUGAGAGGACGACCAGCCACACUGGGACUGAGACACGGCCCAGACUCCUACGGGAGGCAGCAGUGGGGAAUUUUGGACAAUGGGGGCAACCCUGAUCCAGCAAUGCCGCGUGAGUGAAGAAGGCCUUCGGGUUGUAAAGCUCUUUUGUCAGGGAAGAAACGGUGAGGGCUAAUAUCCUUUGCUAAUGACGGUACCUGAAGAAUAAGCACCGGCUAACUACGUGCCAGCAGCCGCGGUAAUACGUAGGGUGCAAGCGUUAAUCGGAAUUACUGGGCGUAAAGCGUGCGCAGGCGGUUAUGCAAGACAGAUGUGAAAUCCCCGGGCUCAACCUGGGAAUUGCAUUUGUGACUGUAUGGCUAGAGUGUGUCAGAGGGGGGUAGAAUUCCACGUGUAGCAGUGAAAUGCGUAGAUAUGUGGAGGAAUACCGAUGGCGAAGGCAGCCCCCUGGGAUAACACUGACGCUCAUGCACGAAAGCGUGGGGAGCAAAC
rnacentral:rRNA from 1 species